AGAGUUUGAUCCUGGCUCAGGACGAACGCUGGCGGCGUGCUUAACACAUGCAAGUCGAACGGAAAGGCCCUUCGGGGUACUCGAGUGGCGAACGGGUGAGUAACACGUGGGUGAUCUGCCCUGCACUUUGGGAUAAGCCUGGGAAACUGGGUCUAAUACCGAAUAUGACCAUGCACUUCCUGGUGUGUGGUGGAAAGCUUUUGCGGUGUGGGAUGGGCCCGCGGCCUAUCAGCUUGUUGGUGGGGUAAUGGCCUACCAAGGCGACGACGGGUAGCCGGCCUGAGAGGGUGACCGGCCACACUGGGACUGAGAUACGGCCCAGACUCCUACGGGAGGCAGCAGUGGGGAAUAUUGCACAAUGGGCGCAAGCCUGAUGCAGCGACGCCGCGUGAGGGAUGACGGCCUUCGGGUUGUAAACCUCUUUCAGCACAGACGAAGCGCGAGUGACGGUAUGUGCAGAGGAAGGACCGGCCAACUACGUGCCAGCAGCCGCGGUAAUACGUAGGGUCCGAGCGUUGUCCGGAAUUACUGGGCGUAAAGAGCUCGUAGGUGGUUUGUCGCGUUGUUCGUGAAAACUCACAGCUUAACUGUGGGCGUGCGGGCGAUACGGGCAGACUGGAGUACUGCAGGGGAGACUGGAAUUCCUGGUGUAGCGGUGGAAUGCGCAGAUAUCAGGAGGAACACCGGUGGCGAAGGCGGGUCUCUGGGCAGUAACUGACGCUGAGGAGCGAAAGCGUGGGGAGCGAACAGGAUUAGAUACCCUGGUAGUCC
rnacentral:rRNA from 1 species